AUUGAACGCUGGCGGAAUGCUUUACACAUGCAAGUCGAACGGCAGCACGGACUUCGGUCUGGUGGCGAGUGGCGAACGGGUGAGUCAUGUAGCGGAACGUGCCCAGUCGUGGGGGAUAACGUAGUGAAAAUUACGCUAAUACCGCAUACGAUCUAUGGAUGAAAGCGGGGGAUCGCAAGACUCCGCGCGCUUGGAGCGGCCGCGAUCAGAUUAGGUAGUUGGUGGGGUAAAGGCCCACCAAGCCGACGAUCUGUAGCUGGUCUGAGAGGACGACCAGCCACACUGGAACUGAGACACGGUCCAGACUCCUACGGGAGGCAGCAGUGGGGAAUUUUGGACAAUGGGCGAAAGCCUGAUCCAGCCAUUCCGCGUGCAGGAUGAAGGCCCUCGGGUUGUAAACUGCUUUUGUACAGAACGAAAAGGUUUCUACUAAUACUAGGAGCUCAUGACGGUACUGUAAGAAUAAGCACCGGCUAACUACGUGCCAGCCGCCGCCGUAA
rnacentral:rRNA from 1 species